GGAAUAUUGGACAAUGGGCGAAAGCCUGAUCCAGCAAUGCCGCGUGAGUGAUGAAGGCCUUAGGGUUGUAAAGCUCUUUUACCCGGGAUGAUAAUGACAGUACCGGGAGAAUAAGCUCCGGCUAACUCCGUGCCAGCAGCCGCGGUAAUACGGAGGGAGCUAGCGUUAUUCGGAAUUACUGGGCGUAAAGCGCACGUAGGCGGCUUUGUAAGUAAGAGGUGAAAGCCCAGAGCUCAACUCUGGAAUUGCCUUUUAGACUGCAUCGCUUGAAUCAUGGAGAGGUCAGUGGAAUUCCGAGUGUAGAGGUGAAAUUCGUAGAUAUUCGGAAGAACACCAGUGGCGAAGGCGGCUGACUGGACAUGUAUUGACGCUGAGGUGCGAAAGCGUGGGGAGCAAACAGGAUUAGAUACCCUUG
rnacentral:rRNA from 1 species